AUUGAACGCUGGCGGCAUGCCUUACACAUGCAAGUCGAACGGUAACGGGCCUUCGGGUGCCGACGAGUGGCGAACGGGUGAGUAAUACAUCGGAACGUGCCCGAUCGUGGGGGAUAACGAGGCGAAAGCUUUGCUAAUACCGCAUACGAUCUACGGAUGAAAGCAGGGGACCGCAAGGCCUUGCGCGGGCGGAGCGGCCGAUGGCAGAUGAGGUAGUUGGUGGGAUAAAAGCUUACCAAGCCGACGAUCUGUAGCUGGUCUGAGAGGAUGAUCAGCCACACUGGGACUGAGACACGGCCCAGACUCCUACGGGAGGCAGCAGUGGGGAAUGUUGGACAAAGGGCGCAAGCCUGAUCCAGCCAUGCCGCGUGCAGGAUGAAGGCCUUCGGGUUGUAAACUGCUUUUGUACGGAACGAAAAGCCUUCUUUUAAUACAGGAGGGUCAUGACGGUACCGGAAGAAUAAGCACCGGCUAACUACGUG
rnacentral:rRNA from 1 species